rfam:Alphaproteobacteria bacterium BRH_c36 BRHa_1005367, whole genome shotgun sequence.
AGCGUAUUUUGCCCAGGCGGAGCUCGACCGCCGAUGGAAGCCAUGAUCAGCUUCGUCGAUGCGUACCGAGACGACCACGGGGUCACGUCGGAGACGUGCUGCGCACAUGGCCGAUCUGCAAGGUACUGCCGAUCGCCCCG